CGCACGGGUGAGUAACACGUAUCCAACCUGCCUCUACUCUUGGACAGCCUUCUGAAGGAAGAUUAAUACAAGAUGGCAUCAUGAGUCCGCAUGUUCACAUGAUUAAAGGUAUUCCGGUAGACGAUGGGGAGUGCGUUCCAUUAGAUAGUAGGCGGGGGUAACGGGCCCACCUAGUCUUCGAUGGAUAGGGGUUCUGAGAGGAAGGUCCCCCCACAUUGGAACUGAGACACGGUCCAAACUCCUACGGGAGGCAGCAUG
rnacentral:rRNA from 1 species